AGCCACUGCACUGCUUGCAAAACCUGAGAACAAAGACAGAAGAGACUUGGUUGAACAAUUCACACUGUUUUUCAAAAACAGCUUUCUGAAAGGGCUUGAUCCCCCAAGGUUGCCCACAGCAGCUGAAGGUAUUUUGUUAAUAAAAUCAUUUUCAUAAUGGAAAAGACUCAGAAAAUUCCCCUCGCAUGACAUAUAACAUCCAACAAGGGGCUGAACCAAGAAAAAAUACUGCAGCUGCUGCUAAUGGCAACACUGAGCAAGCACCUGGCCUGUGCCAGGCACUGUCCUGUGCAGUCUGUGUUUGCACUCACUUUAUCCUCAAGAGCCAGAUGAGCAUCUCCACCAGACAGCACCUGCAGAGGCUUGGGCAGUUUAUUUUACCGUCUCUGAGUAAAAUAGGGAUAAUAAGUAACAGUACCCAUACACAGGUGGCAGAGACGCUAGGGAACUUGCCCAAGGUCACAGAGCUUCCAGGUGGAGGAGCAGGGACAUGUGCUCACAAUGAUGGCACUAAGGCACAUGCUGCCUGGAUGGAGACCAGCCCACAGAUGAGAGUUCCAGGACAGAGGGAACAUGGAUGGAUCAAGUGAAGUGACAGAACAUUUGGAAAACUCUACCGAGAUAUAUAUGGCCCCCCAGUAAAAAUUAAAGAGAUACAGAGAACUACAUUAAGUGAGACAAUAAGGCAACUCUAUUUCUUGCAGGAAAAAAAUAAUUGUGGUUAUAGAACACUACUGGUUCUGAGGUGAAUAGCAGUCACAGAGCCAUCAAAAUAUGACCCCACUCACUGAAGUAAUACAAAGUGAUAGUGUAGCUAUCCCGGGAAGACGUGGAAGGCCGAGCAAGGACCAUGGCACAAGAGGCCACGCUGUACCUAGUAUGGUAUGCGGUUGCCAAGAGGACCCCCCCUGAUUCGUCUAGUGUUCAUGCCCACGUGUGAUCUCCUGCCCCGUGAGCUGGGCCUAGCCACUCACUUCUGACAGACAGAAGCCAACAAAAGCAACAGGAUGUCACUUCUAAGUUUAGCUUAUAAACACACUCAGACUUCCAUCUAGGCUCACCUCUUGCUCACUCUGAUGAAAGCCAGCUGCCAUGCUGUCAGCUGGGGAGAGGCCCAUGUGGCAGGAACUGAGGAAGUCUUUGGCCACAGCCUGCAAGGAAGUGAAUCCUGACACAAGCUCACUAGAGUGAGCUGGGAAGUAGAUACCCUUCAGUCAAGCUUUCAGAUGAGGCCACAAUCCUAGCCAACAUUUUGAUUUCCACCCAUGAGAAACCUUGAGCCAGAAGACCCAAGCUAAGCUACACCUGGAUUCCUGACCCACAGAUACCAUGAUAACAGACAUUAUUUUAAGCUGCUAUGUUAGGAGUAAUUAGUUAUUUAGGAAUAAGGUAACUAAUACAUUUAUAUUAAUGGGAAGUCAGCAGAGAACAUUUAAAUGGAUAAACUGAGAAAUGGCUGUGUAAGUGUGUGAUCUGGAAACAGGAGAAAAAUGCGGCCCUGAAGAAAGGAGUUAAGAGAGGAAGGAGGAGCUACUAUGUCUCAUUUUAAAUCACGUGGGUGGCAUUAUUUGACUUCUUUUUAAGUACAUGGAAGUGUUACUUUCUUAAAUGAAAAUGAAGGUUAACAGCAGCAGUAAACUAAUUUCCAGUAGAUGAAAUGUGACUUUGUAAUCCCAGGAAAAGGGAAGAAUUUGCACCAAGAAGUUACUGUUACCUCAGAAUGGCAAGAGCAUGGAUGGCUCUUAUCAUCAUCUUUAUACUUCUUUUACAUUUCCUCAUUUUUUAAAAGUUUUGUGUACGUAUUACAUUUAGGAAAUCCAAUAUAUAGUAUUAAAAUAGAAAAAGUAAAGAAGCAGGCUGGGCUUGGUGCCCACUGCUCAAUUUGACUGGCUUAAAAAAAUAAUUUUUUAAACGACAUAUACGGACAGACAUAAUACUUGCUUCUGAGCCUCCCAGUCUUUCAAAACCACAUUAGGGAAUAAGCAGUAUUUGCAUGGUUCCAGUGAUAUCUGGGAGUAAGUGAAAGUAAUGAAAACACAGAAGUAAACACAAAGUAAUUAUAGUUCACCUUUAUACACACGUUAACAGAAAUCAUCUGAUCUCCUUUGCUGCUAAGCGAGUUGAAAAGCGAAAGCGUUUGAAUCCCACCAGCAUCGCUGGAUGUGUCAUCCACUGAGCCUUCAUCUCCCAUGAACUUGACUUUUAACCAAUUUGCUAGAAUUCUACAGAUUUAAAAAAAACAAAAAACAAAAAAAAAAACACUUGAAGAAUCUAAUUCUAAAUUUGAAUUAUAAAGACUUUCAGGAAAAGAAGAAAGAGAAAUAUCACACAGACCUAGGUCCACAAAUACCAAAUCUUACUAUGAAGCUGACCUGCACAAAACAGGCUGUCGUUUUAAAAUGGAGCAACGAUCUUUACUCGUUCUUUUUUUUUUUUUUUUUUUGAGACAGGGUCUCGCUCUGUCGCCCAAGCUAGAGUGCAAUGGCACAGACUUGGCUCACCGCAGCAAGCAAACCUGCCUCAGUAGCUGAGACUUUCUCAGUAGCUGAGACUUUCUCAGUAGCUGAGACUACAGGCACGGGCCACCAUGCCCAGCUAAUUUUUCCAUUUUUUUUGUAGAGUCUCACUCAAAGGGUCUCACUAUGUUGCUCAUGCUGGCCUCAAACUCCUGGGCUCAAGCAAUCCUCCCUCCACAGCCUCCCCAGUUGCUGGGAUUACAGGCAUGAGCCACUGCUCCCGGCUUCUACUUGUUGUUAACUGGGCAGGAGGAGGGGGCACUCCAUUCCAUUAGAAUGGAACUGGCUCAUUCUAACGUGACUUAAAAUUCUGAAGCAUUAAGAUUUUCAGCAAUAGAAAACAUCCCUAGAGUUUGAAAUACAUGUUUUUUACAGAUCAAAUUUCUCAUACCCGAGACCUUAAGAAUUCUUAAGUGACAUACGAACUUAGCAAAUGAGAAGACAGCUAUUUUAAGAAAUGACUCACCAGCUGGGCGUAGUGGCUCACGCCUGUAAUCCCAGCACCUUGGGAGGCCAAGGCAGGUGGAUCGCUUGAGCCCAGUUUGAGACCAGCCUGGGCAACAUCGCAAAACCCUGUCUCUACAAAAUAUAUACAAAACUAAGCUGGGCGUGGUGGUGUGCGCCUGUAAUCCCAGCUACUUGGGAGGCUGAGGCAGGAAAAUUGCUUGAACCUGAGAGGCGGAGGUUGCAGUGAACAAAGUGUACCACACGCCAGCCUGGGCGACAGAGUGAGACUCCAUCUCAAAAAAAAAAAGAAUACGGGCUUUCUAAGUGAAAAGGUGUUCUGGAAUUAUUAACAGUGAUGGUUGCAAAACCCUGUGAAUAUAUCUAAAAAUCACUGAAAUGUACACUUUAAAUGGGUGAAGUUUAUGGUAUGUGAAUAACAUUUCAAUAAAGCUAUUUUAAAAAUAAACUGUAAGCCGGGUGUGGUGGCUCACGCCUGUAAUCCCAAAACCUUGGUAGACUGAAGCAUGCAGAUUGCUUGAGCCCAGGAGUUCAAGACCAGCUUGGGCAACAUAGUGAAAUCCCAUCUUUAAAAAAAAAAACAUUAACCAGGUAUGGUGGCACACGCCUGUAGUUCCAGCUACUCAGGAGGCUGAGGUGAGAAGAUCAGUUGAGCCCAGGAGGUCAAGGCUGCGGUGAGCUGUUAUCACACCACUGCCCUCUAGCCUGGGUGACAACAAAGCAAGACCCUGUCUCAAAAAAACACAAAGAGACUGUAGUUGCUUUAAAAACAUGACUUCUGUAUGCUAUUUGGUUACAGAAAAUAAGAUCAUGUCAAUUUUUUCUUUUUUAAAAUGCCAAAAGUUUCUUUAAGGGGAAAAAAAUGGAACUUUAGUACACAGACUAUAAACUAUCUUACUGAAGAGUCUAAAAUGAAGCAGGUCUAUCAGUGUACCUUAACACAGCUUGAAAUAACAAUCAACUCUUAAAUGCUUUUGGUCUAAGACUGUUGCCAAGUAAUAUGGUUUGGAUUUGUGUCCCUACCCAAAUCUCACGUUGAACUGUAAUCCCCAAUGUUGGAGGAGGGGCCUGGUGGGAAGUGAUUGUAUCAUGGGGGUGGAAUCCCCCUGGCUGUUCUCAUGAUAGUGAGCUCUCACGAGAUCUGGUUAAGUGUGUGACAACUCCCCCUCACUGUUCUCAUGAUAGUGAGCUCUCACGAGAUCUGGUUAAGUGUGUGACAACUCCCCUUCACUGUUGUCAUGAUAGUGAGCUCUCACGAGAUGUGGUUGUGUGACAACUCCCCCUCACUGUUCUCAUGAUAGUGAGCUCUCAACAAGAUCUGGUUAAGCGUGUGGCAACUCACCCUCACUGUUCUCAUGAUAGUGAGCUCUCAGGAGAUCUGGUUAAGUGUGUGGAAACUCCCCCUUGCUGUUCUCAUGAAAGUGAGCCUUGCGAGACCUGGUUAAGUGUGCAGCACCUCCCCCUUGCUGUUCUCAUUACAGCGAGCUGUCAUGAGAUCUGGUUGUUUAGAAGUGUGUGGCACCUCCCACUUUGCUGUUCUCAUGAUAGUGAGUUCUCACGAGAUCUGGUUAAGCGUGUGGCAUCUCCCCCUUCUCUCUCUCUUCCUCCUGCUUUGGCCAUGUAAGACAUGCCUCCCUCCCCUUAGCCUUCCACCAUGAUUGUGGGUUUCCUGAGGCCUCCCCAGCCAUGCUUCCUGUACAGCCGAGCCAAUUAAACCUCUUUAUAAAGUA